rnacentral:sRNA from 1 species
GAUUGUGCAGCGUCCAGGGCCCGUGCCUGCCCACAGCCUGUGUGGGCAUUUGGUGCCCAAGGAUGAUCGCAUCCAAGGGACUCUGCAACCACACGCCAGGUACUUGAUAUUUCCUAAUCCUGUCUGCCUUGAGCCUGGUAUCUCCUACAAGCUGCAUCUGAAGCUGAUACGGACAGGGGGAAGUGCCCAGCCUGAGACUCCCUACUCUGGACCUGGCCUGCUCAUUGACUCGCUGGUGCUGCUGCCCCGUGUCCUGGUGCUAGAGAUGUUUAGUGGGGGUGAUGCUGCUGCCCUGGAGCGCCAGGCCACCUUUGAACGCUACCAAUGCCAUGAGGAGGGUCUGGUGCCCAGCAAGACUUCUCCCUCUGAGGCCUGUGCACCCCUCUUCAUCAGCCUGUCCACCCUCAUCUACAAUGGUGCCCUGCGUGCAUUGCUGGUUUCCACGGGGACCCACGGCUGCCAUAUGGGGGCCAGUGCCGGCCCUGUCCCUGUCCUGAAGGCCCUGGGAGCCAAAGGCACUUUGCUACUUCUUGCCACCGGGAUGAAUAUUCCCAGCAGAUUGUGUGCCACUGCCGGGCAGGCUAUACGGG